UAUAUACUCCCUCCAUUCGGAAUUACUUGUCGAAAAAAUGAAUGUAUCUAGAUGUAUUUUAGUUGUAGAUACAUUCAUUUUUGGGACAAGUAAUUCCGAACGGAGGGAGUAUGUA
rnacentral:pre_miRNA from 1 species